ACGAACCGUGCGAACGUUAUUCGGAAUCACUGGGCUUAAAGCGCGUGUAGGCGGAUGGGGACGUCGGUAGCUGAAAUCCCCCGGCUCAACCGGGGAAGUGGCGCCGAAACGCCCCGUCUGGAGGGACGUAGGGGGACCUGGAACUUCCGGUGGAGCGGUGAAAUGCGUUGAGAUCGGAAGGAACGCCCGUGGCGAAAGCGAGGUCCUGGACGUUUUCUGACGCUGAGACGCGAAAGCUAGGGUAGCGAACGGGAUUAGAUACCCCGGUAGUCCUAGCUGUAAACGAUGGGCACUGGGUAGGGGGCUCGCCGAUGGGCUCUCUGCCGAAGGGAAACCGUGAAGUGCCCCGCCUGGGGAGUAUGGUCGCAAGGCUG
rnacentral:rRNA from 1 species